GGCAGAGUAGGAACCGGCGCGUUAAGUGCCGCCUGAACGGGGAGUUGUCAGGCGGACGAAAAGAGUUUCUUGCGGUGCCGGUUUCGCAUCCCGCUGCU
rfam:Anaerotruncus colihominis DSM 17241 Scfld_02_14 genomic scaffold, whole genome shotgun sequence.